UACGGAGGGUGCAAGCGUUAAUCGGAAUUACUGGGCGUAAAGCGCACGCAGGCCGUCUGUCUAGUCGGAUGUGAAAUCCCCGGGCUCAACGUGGGAACUGCAUUCGAAACUGGCAGGUUAGAGUCUUGUAGAGGGGGGUAGUAUUCCAGGUGUAGCGGUGAAAUGCGUAGAGAUCUGGAGGAAUACCGGUGGCGAAGGCGGCCCCCUGGACAAAGACUGACGCUCAGGUGCGAAAGCGUGGGGAGCAAACAGGAUUAGAUCCCCUGGUAGUCCCCGCUGUAAACGAUGUCGAUUUGGAGGGUGUGCCCUUGAGGCGUGGCUUCCGGAGCUAACGCGUUAAAUCGACCGCCUGGGGAGUACGGCCGCAAGGUUAAAACUCAAAUGAAUUGGCGGGGGCCCGCACAAGCGGUGGAGCAUGUGGUUUAUUUCGAUGCAACGCGAAGAACCUUCCCUGGUCUUGACAUCCACAGAACUUUCCAGAGAUGGAUUGGUCCCUUCGGGAACUGUGACACAGGUGCUGCAUGGCUGUUGUCAUCUCGUGUUGUGAAAUGUUGGGUUAAGUCCCGCAACGAGCGCACCCCUUAUCCUUUUUUCCCAGCGGUUAGGCCGGGAAUUCAAAGGAGACUGCCAGUGAUAAACUGGAGGAAGGUGGGGAUGACGUCAAGUCAUCAUGGCCCUUACGACCAGGGCUACACACGUGCUACAAUGGCAUAUCCAAAGAGAAGCGACCUCGCGAGAGCAAGCGGACCUCAUAAAGUAUGUUGUAGUCCGGAUUGGAGUUUGCAACUCGACUCCAUGAAGUCGGAAUCGUUAGUAAUCGUAGAUCAGAAUGCUACGGUGAAUACGUUCCCGGGCCUUGUACACACCGCCCGUCACACCAUGGGAGUGGGUUGCAAAAGAAGUAGGUAGCUUAACCUCGGGAGGGCGCUACCACGUUGAUCA
rnacentral:rRNA from 1 species